ensembl:antisense uncharacterized LOC110287177
GAGCCAAUGGGUGGCAAGGACUGUGACUCGUGCGGACACCCCAGCCUCGGCCAUCAUUAGUGCGGAAGAUGCAGAGAUCGUAGCGGAUGCCUUUCUGGACUACCCGGUUUGGGCAGUCAUAGCCACAGCAACAGCGGGAGUUGCACUCGUAGAUGGGCUGCCCAGCUUUCAGUCGCACCUGGCCUUGGUCAUUGUAGGCAAACUUGUGCAGGGAUGCUCCAGGGCAACAGCCUCCAGUGGGUGCCAACAGACAGUCCUGGCACUCACAGCCAACAGCUACCUGGUUGAGGGUGAUGCCCUCACCAACUCGAUACUCAUUGAUAUAGACAAAGGACCUUGGAGGGCCAUCCAGGUCUACCUCAUUCUCCACGGUGAUCCGCCCCAGGUGGCUGCGCUUGGCAUUGAGCUCUUGUUCCCAACGUUGCAGUGCCCGCCUCUGCUUGGCCUUCUGCACCAGGUAAUUGGCUAGGUUUGGGUCCAGAUGCCUGGGUGGCUUUGACCGGCGGUGUCGUCGGACAAGCUCUCUUUCUAAGUCCUUAUGGAACUGCUUAAGAACUCGUACACAUUUGAGAUUCUGCCGUGGCUCCCAGGUGUUUUCUGAGUCAGGAUACCCACGCCAUUUAACCAAAAUCAGAGGAGAAAAAUCCUCUUUGCAAACAGAUGUGGGGGUUGGUGGAGAAGAGG